UUGUAGCUUAGUGGCAGAGCACGUGCUUAGCAAGCAUGAGACCCUGGGUUUAAUCUCUAGCAA
rnacentral:tRNA from 1 species